UUUGAUACGAGAUGGAAACUA
ensembl:piRNA 21ur-10226 ncRNA